UGGAGAGCGGGGCAGAGAAGAACCUCAUGAAGUUCAGCAAAGGCAAGUGCAGAGCCCUGCACCUAGGCAGGAAUGACCGCAGGCACCAGUACAGGCUGGG